rnacentral:rRNA from 1 species
CUCUCAAGAUAGCCAUGCAUGGUCUAGUAUAGCAUUAUACCGUGAAACUGCGAAUGGCUCAUUAAAUCAGUUAUCGUUUAUUUGAUAGUACCUUACUACUUGGAUAACCCGUGGUAAUUCUAGAGCUAAUACAUGCUAAAAACCCCGACUUCGGGAGGGGUGUAUUUAUUAGAUAAAAAACCAAUGCCCUUCGGGGCUCUUUGGUGAUUCAUGAUAACUUAACGGAUCGCAUGGCCUUGCGCCGGCGACGGUUCAUUCAAAUUUCUGCCCUAUCAACUUUCGAUGGUAAGGUAUUGGCUUACCAUGGUUUCAACGGGUAACGGGGAAUUAGGGUUCGAUUCCGGAGAGGGAGCCUGAGAAACGGCUACCACAUCCAAGGAAGGCAGCAGGCGCGCAAAUUACCCAAUCCCGACUCGGGGAGGUAGUGACAAUAAAUACUGAUACAGGGCUCUUUUGGGUCUUGUAAUCGGAAUGAGUACAAUUUAAACCCCUUAACGAGGAACAAUUGGAGGGCAAGUCUGGUGCCAGCAGCCGCGGUAAUUCCAGCUCCAAUAGCGUAUAUUAAAGUUGUUGCAGUUAAAAAGCUCGUAGUUGAACCUUGGGCCUGGCUGGCCGGUCCGCCUCACCGCGUGUACUGGUCCGGCCGGGCCUUUCCUUCUGGAGAGCCGCAUGCCCUUCACUGGGUGUGUUGGGGAACCAGGACUUUUACUUUGAAAAAAUUAGAGUGUUCAAAGCAGGCCUUUGCUCGAAUACGUUAGCAUGGAAUAAUAGAAUAGGACGUGCGGUCCUAUUUUGUUGGUUUCUAGGACCGCCGUAAUGAUUAAUAGGGAUAGUCGGGGGCAUCAGUAUUCAAUUGUCAGAGGUGAAAUUCUUGGAUUUAUUGAAGACUAACUACUGCGAAAGCAUUUGCCAAGGAUGUUUUCAUUAAUCAGUGAACGAAAGUUAGGGGAUCGAAGACGAUCAGAUACCGUCGUAGUCUUAACCGUAAACUAUGCCGACUAGGGAUCGGGCGAUGUUUCUAUCUUGACUCGCUCGGCACCUUACGAGAAAUCAAAGUUUUUGGGUUCUGGGGGGGAGUAUGGUCGCAAGGCUGAACUAGAGA